rnacentral:rRNA from 1 species
AGCAGCCGCGGUAAUUCCAGCUCCAAUAGCGUAUAUUAAAGUUGUUGCAGUUAAAAAGCUCGUAGUUGAAUUUCGGGAUCAAUAUGUCGGUCGUGCCUUGGUACGUACUGGUAUCAUUGGUCUCUCCUUUCUGACGAACCAUGAUGUCAUUAAUUUGGUGUUAUGGGAAGUUAGGACUGUUACUUUGAAAAAUUAGAGUGUUUAAAGCAGGCUUUAGCUUGAAUACAUUAGCAUGGAAUAAUGAAAUAGGACGUUCGAACCUAUUUUGUUGGUUUCUAGGAUCAACGUAAUGAUUAAUAGGGAUAGUUGGGGGCAUUAGUAUUCAAUUGUCAGAGGUGAAAUUCUUGGAUUUAUUGAAGACUAACUACUGCGAAAGCAUUUGCCAAGGAUGUUUUCAUUAAUCAAGAACGAAAGUUAGGGGAUCGAAGACGAUCAGAUACCGUCGUAGUCUUAACCAUAAACUAUGCCGACUAGGGAUCGGAUGAUGUUAAUU